GACGAACGCUGGCGGCGUGCUUAACACAUGCAAGUCGAACGGAAAGGCCCUGCUUUUGUGGGGUGCUCGAGUGGCGAACGGGUGAGUAACACGUGAGUAACCUGCCCUUGACUUUGGGAUAACUUCAGGAAACUGGGGCUAAUACCGGAUAGGAGCUCCUGCUGCAUGGUGGGGGUUGGAAAGUUUCGGCCGUUGGGGAUGGACUCGCGGCUUAUCAGCUUGUUGGUGGGGUAGUGGCUUACCAAGGCUUUGACGGGUAGGCGGCCUGAGAGGGUGAACGGGGACAUGGGGACUGAGAGACGGCCCAGAAUCGUACGGGAGGCAGCAGGGGGGAAUAUUGCAGAAUGGGCGGAAGCCUGAUGCAGCAACGCCGCGUGCGGGAUGACGGGCUUCGGGUUGUAAACCGAUUUCGCCUGUGACGAGGCGGGAGUGACGGUAAUGGGUAAAGAAGCACCGGCUAACUACGUG
rnacentral:rRNA from 1 species